UACGUAGGGUCCGAGCGUUGUCCGGAAUUAUUGGGCGUAAAGGGCUCGUAGGCGGUUCGUCACGUCGGGAGUGAAAACUCGGGGCUUAACCCCGAGCCUGCUUCCGAUACGGGCAGACUAGAGGUAGGCAGGGGAGAGCGGAACUCCUGGUGUAGCGGUGGAAUGCGCAGAUAUCAGGAGGAACACCUGCGGUGUAGACGGCUUACUGGACGGUAACUGACGCUGAGGCACGAAAGCGUGGGUAGCAAACAGG
rnacentral:rRNA from 1 species